rnacentral:pre_miRNA from 1 species
CACUCAGGGGGCGGUUCCUCAGCCCGGAUUGUGAGGGAGCACAGGCCAGGCUGAGGGACCCCACCAGAGCA